GCCAGACUCCUACGGGAGGCAGCAGUGGGGAAUAUUGCACAAUGGGGGAAACCCUGAUGCAGCAACGCCGCGUGAGUGAAGAAGUAUUUCGGUAUGUAAAGCUCUAUCAGCAGGGAAGAGAAUGACGGUACCUGACUAAGAAGCCCCGGCUAACUACGUGCCAGCAGCCGCGGUAAUACGUAGGGGGCGAGCGUUAUCCGGAUUUACUGGGUGUAAAGGGAGCGUAGACGGUUCUGCAAGUCUGAAGUGAAAGCCCGUGGCUUAACCGCGGAACGGCUUUGGAAACUGUGGAACUGGAGUGCUGGAGAGGCAAGCGGAAUUCCUGGUGUAGCGGUGAAAUGCGUAGAUAUCAGGAGGAACACCGGCGGCGAAGGCGGCCUGCUGGACCGCGACUGACGUUGAGGCUCGAAAGCGUGGGGAGCGAACAGGAUUAGAUACCCCUGUA
rnacentral:rRNA from 1 species